UUGAGCAAGAUGGAGAAGCAGGGCACGUGCAUUUCUAACUCAUGCGCAUUCUUUCUCUACCUGGAAUUAAAAGUUUCCCCACUUUUAGUUUGUUGAUAUGGGAAAUCAUAUAUAUGCAUGAUCCUGCAGUGAGUUAGUUCUUCAUGUGCCCCCCUUCCCCAUCAUGACCAC
rnacentral:pre_miRNA from 1 species